AGGUGCAUUUAUAGUCCAUGACAUAAAAAUCCUCUGCAUGCAACCACGAGGAGAGGGGGAAUUUACUAAGGAGUUUUGUCUAUAUAUUAUAUAAAAUCUACUGUUGGGAAGAGCAGAACCUAAUCCAAAUAAAAAUAAACAAGCUGUUAAAAGCCAGUUGAAGGUGGUCAACACAAACCAAAUGAAGAUGUUGCACAUUCCACAAACAAUAAAAAAGAAGAUCAAGUUUUGUGUCCAACACACUUGGAUGAGACGUGCCCGACCCCUGACUUUGUCUACCCUACAUUAAGUUGUGAUGGCACACUUCAUGACAGUAAACAUCGGUAUCAAGAUGAUGUGAUUGAUCUAUACCCUAGAAUAAGCUGUGACACUAUGAGACGGUGCCAUAAUGAACAGCCAUCUUCCAGACAACCGAAACAGGCAGAGUAUUGUUUU